UUUGAAAUCUGGCCCCCAGGGCCCGAGUUGUAAUUUGCAGAGGAUGCUUUUGGCGCGGUGCCUUCCGAGUUCCCUGGAACGGGACGCCAUAGAGGGUGAGAGCCCCGUCUGGUCGGACACCAAGCCAGUGUAAAGCUCCUUCGACGAGUCGAGUAGUUUGGGAAUGCUGCUCUAAAUGGGAGGUAUAUGUCUUCUAAAGCUAAAUACCGGCCAGAGACCGAUAGCGCACAAGUAGAGUGAUCGAAAGAUGAAAAGCACUUUGAAAAGAGGGUUAAACAGUACGUGAAAUUGUUGAAAGGGAAGCGUUUAUGACCAGACUUGGGCCCGGUGAAUCAUCCAGCGUUCUCGCUGGUGCACUUUGCCGGGCUCAGGCCAGCAUCAGUUCGUCGCGGGGGAUAAAAGCUUCGGGAACGUGGCUCCCUCGGGAGUGUUAUAGCCCGUUGCAUAAUACCCUGCGGUGGACUGAGGUUCGCGCUCCGCAAGGAUGCUGGCGUAAUGGUCAUCAGCGACCCGUCUUGAAACACGGACCAAGGAGUCGUCUUCGUAUGCGAGUGUUCGGGUGUAAAACCCCUACGCGUAAUGAAAGUGAACGCAGGUGAGAGCUUCGGCGCAUCAUCGACCGAUCCUGAUGUUCUCGGAUGGAU
rnacentral:rRNA from 1 species